rnacentral:rRNA from 1 species
AUUGAACGCUGGCGGCAGGCUUAACACAUGCGAGUCGAGCGGAGAUGAGGUGCUUGCACCUUAUCUUAGCGGCGGACGGGUGAGUAAUGCUUAGGAAUCUGCCUAUUAGGGGGGGACAACAUUCCGAAAGGAAUGCUAAUACCGCAUACGUCCUACGGGAGAAAGCAGGGGAUCUUCGGACCUUGCGCUAAUAGAUGAGCCUAAGUCGGAUUAGCUAGUUGGUGGGGUAAAGGCCUACCAAGGCGACGAUCUGUAGCGGGUCUGAGAGGAUGAUCCGCCACACUGGGACUGAGACACGGCCCAGACUCCUACGGGAGGCAGCAGUGGGGAAUAUUGGACAAUGGGGGAAACCCUGAUCCAGCCAUGCCGCGUGUGUGAAGAAGGCCUUAUGGUUGUAAAGCACUUUAAGCGAGGAGGAGGCUACUGAGACUAAUACUCUUGGAUAGUGGACGUUACUCGCAGAAUAAGCACCGGCUAACUCUGUGCCAGCCGCCGCCGUAA